UAUUCUUGAAAUAAUUAGAGCUUCUCCAGCCCGAGGUGAAUGCCUCCAGCUGCCAGUCUGCCAGAACUCUGGAGCCAGAGGACCAGGUGAGGUAAAGAGGAAACAGAGAUGCAGCUAUGUGACUUACUUCACAACCCACCUUGGAUCCCCUUCGUGUCCAAAUCUCAGUAGUUAAUCAAAUGUCUGCUGCCAUUAAGAAAACAGAAGUAAUGGAUAACAGAGUGGAAGUAACAGAUGCCAGAGCUACUUCUGUAACUAACUCACCAAAUUGAAUCAUCAGUCCUCACACCCGUGUUUUAUUUAAUACUAGGAGGAGAGGUCAUGCAGACUUUCCAAAAGGACAAAGCCACAAUGAAAAGGAAGACAACCUCCAGUUUUUAAUCCUUUCUCUUGGAGUAUUUUCUUGUUCUGCCUUCAAAAGGUCUAUUUAAGAGAUAGUUGUGUUUACUGCCACAGAAUGUAUCACAAGAUAAGAAAUGAAAAAUCUAUCUACCUUCCUGCCCUCCUUUUCUUUCCCUAUUUUAUCUUUUAUUUUCUCCCUUUUGUCAAUUACAGGAACACUUCUCUGAUAGCUGGCAGCUGAAGCCACAAGCAGAUCUACCAACCUUUAGCACUAAGUGUCAGGUAGGUAGCACUGUGAUUAUCCAAGUGACUUUGGAAACCAUAACCACGCCUUUUUGCAAACUGAGACAACACUUAUCUAUAAAGAGUGACUCUCAAAUUGAUAAAGCCAGAGAAAAUUUUAAGAGGACUCACCAAAAACACUGGAUCUGUAUAAUUUGCAGAACGCAAUGAGCUUUAUUUGUACACUUGCAGUAAUCGUUACCUUUUUCUCUUUGACAGCAAUAGAAACACAGUGACAGAAAUUUUAAAGAGUGCAGUAUUUUCUAAAAAAUGUUCUGUGACAAUUGGGAAUUAAAUAGAUUCUUAACUCUAAAGGAAACUUACUUUUCUGUAGCCAUACUCAUUUUAUAUUGAAAAACAGAGCCAGGCAUUAGCCAGAAGGUAAUUAAUUGGUCAUAGGCAUAGUGUGGUCUUGUUUUAAUAUUCUCCUUGCAAGGGGGAGGGGAGGGUAUGAGUCUUUACAAGGUGAUUGCUUUACACUUGAAUCCAAAAGAAAUUGAGGUUCUUUUGGUUAUUUAAUAAAAUCAGCUCCCUUGGAUAUUGGCCAAGAUUGACCUAUCACAUAUUGAAAUCCUGUCUACAACUUCCUAAUGUGUAUAUAUUAGAAAAGGAAUUGCCUUCAUAGGGAAAAACUUUUAGAAAAUAGAGUUCUGUAUACAUUUCUAGAAUGAAAGAUAUGCAUUUAUUAGUUUAAAUAGGACCUGCCAAUAACUUGAUUGUAAAUAUCAUUGGGUGGACAUAUAAACUGAAUCCAAGUCCUUGUUAAAAGUGAAUUUGCACAUUUGUGAAAUUAAACACAUCAUUGCCAAUGACUGGAUCCCUCAGUUCAAAAUAACAAAUGACUAAAAUUGUACUGUUCAAACAGGACCUUAAUAAGGUGCAUGAAAAAACAUUUAUUGCUAUUAUGUUUCCAGUUAUUUUAGUGCAAGAGGCAAAUGCUUAAGAUAAAAGACACAUCACUAAAAGUUUUCCCAGCACUCGUGGCAACUGCUGUAAAAUGUAUGUCCACAAAGUGUCCACAGACUCUUGAAGAGAUUGUCAAGACUCACCAGGAAAUUAUUGGCUGGUUGGUGUUUCUGUCUGUGCUGCAUAAGGUCAGAGGCUAUUAUUCUGUGAAGACUCAACCUCUUGGUCUUAGUUACUCCCAAUUUGACAAAGCCAUGUCCUAGGGUUUAUGCACUUCAUAUAUGGAAAGGAGAAUAUAUACUCUGAGGAAGAUAAGAUGUUUAGUUCAUCUUUAAGUCAGGAAAUACUAUACUUAUAGCAAGAGAUUAUCACACCCUAACACUGUAAAGCAAAAGAAAGCUUCAGGAAUUAAAUCAAUAACAAACACUUCUCCAAAAAAGAUUCUAUAAUAAGCUAAAACCACAUGCCCACAUAUGUUAAGGAGUGCCUUUCUUUGUGUGUUUAUUAGAAAGGCAAAGCUUUUUCUACAUUUAAUACAGCAUUUUUGUUUCCUGGCCUUGUGUUUUUGUACUUAUUCAUUACAUUUAAACUGUUUUGACAACCUGCCGGAAAACAAAAGUGAGCUAUCCAUAAUCUGACGAAGACACUGAAAGUAGUUACUAACCCUUUUCAGAAACUAAGGAGAACUAUUUUUCUGACAAUGUAAGAUUUAUAAUGAGAUGAUUGGCAAAAUUGUAAAAUUAUUCUAGAAAUAAUCAUGUGAAAUAUAAAAUGGAAAAUCAUAAAUGGACUCUUCUAUGAUAUUGUAGAUAUGACUUAAUAGAUUUUUUAAAUUACAAAUUGGGUAUUAUGAUAAAAAUUUGGAAUGCAUCCGCAACAAUGAGCCCAGGGCUCGCAGACCAUAAUAGGUCUUGCCCAAGGUCACAGCCAAAUAGUGGAAAACCAGGAUCCAAAUCCACAGCUACUGGCUCAAUUCCAGUGCUCUUUCUACUUUACCACAUUCCACCUCUUAGGGUUUAUUUUCCAAAUUAUUCUGACACUAUCAAUGCAAAGCAUUUCUUUUUCCAGAGCUAUGACUUUCAUUACUUAUGUUGCUGAUUAUUUAAUGGGUGGUAGAAUAAGCUUUUCCCAAAGAACUCUCAGCACAUUCCAGCGUCAGCCUAAAUUAUGGUUUCCAAAUGUGUGCCACAGGGGACAUGGGUGGGCACCACAUAUUGUUUGCAGCAGGCACAGAUUUAGCUGUGGUACAAUCUAGCUGUGGUACAAUCUGGGUUGGGCACAAAUAUUAUUGACCCACCUGUUGUUUCAUCAGCUCUUUAAAAAGUCACUUUUUAUGAUCCUUCUCCAAGGUAGUGAUUUUCUUCUCUCCAUUAUGGUCUCUAGCCACCAACCACAGUAAAAACAGCUGUCAGAAGGCUUCCCUGCACCUCAAGUGCAAAGGGCUACGUAUGAGGUACUUAUUCAGAAAUCACAGUAAAGGGCCAGCUGCUUCCACAGACAUUUGGUCUAAAUUUAUGGUUCUCAAAUGCUUUGCUGCACAUUAGAGUCACCUGGAAGUUUUUAGAACUCUCAGUGCCCCCGGCUGCAUCCCAGGAUCUCUAGAGGUAAGACCCAGGUAUCAGUUUUUUCUCAACUUUCAAAAUGCAUCCAAGGUUGAAAAUCCCUGGUCUAAGCCCAUUGUUAUAACUCCCCAUUGCCAUGAUUAAUUUAAGGGUAAGCAUGUGGUCCAGUCUUUACCAAGGCAACAGAAGUCUCAUGAAGGGCUGCUGAGAAAGCUUCCUUCACCUUAAAAAAAAUGAUAUAAGAAGGAUUCUCUCUUCCUCUGGGCAUUGUUAAUCUGAAUCUGCUGCCACUAUCUUAUGAUCAUGACAGAAACUAACUUAAGGAUGAAGGGGACUUUGAAGAUACCAAGGAAAAAGAAAAGAACUGCAGUCCUUGAUUAUAUCUUUGAGCCACUAUGUUACCUCCCCUAGAACCUGAACUACCUCUGGGUCUCAUAUAGAAUGGAAAAUAGAUUAUCUUCUUGUUUAAACUUGUUUGAGUCCGAUUUUUGUUGUUGUUGUUACUGUUGCCUGAGGGCACCCAGACCAUACUCCCUAUACUUAGGUCAUACAAAUUUGAGUGUUAUUCAGGGGGUGAUGAAUUUUUAUGCUUAUUGCCAACACUUUAGUCAUCCAGUCUUCCUUGAGACCCAACAUCCCUCCUUAGAUUCAAGUGAAUGGGACAAAGUUAGUCAACAUUUGUAAAGAAUUGCCUGAAAACUUGCCUUCAUUAGUAUUAAAUGCUCAUGCAGUCUUUUGAAAAUUGUAGCAGCUACUCAUGAGAUUGGGUGUGCUAUUCUUGGGAGAGCAUUCACUUAGGUAGAAGUAAAUGGAGAAUUACAUUGCUCUACCCAAAUGAGCUGCCCUAAGUCCAAGCUUGCUCACUGUUUCUUGGCAGAACCACAAGAUAAACACCAAUGCAUAUCGUGACUCAUACAGAAAAUAUAUUCCUCAAUUUUAGAAUUUCCUCCACAUCCAUGUAAGUUGUUUCAGGAAAAGGUCAAUAAUAAUAGCAUAAAAAUGAAAAUGAAAACAAUGGCAGCAUUUAUUCAUAUAUAGUAAACCUAAGUGUUAAAGUGAGGCAACCUAAUCUUUUUUCCAGUGAGAAAUGCUAAUCCAGGUACUGCACUAUUUCAGCUUUGGCCCUUUCCAGUCAUAAACCUCGUUAUAGGAAAAGCUUCAUAAAAAAUAAAUACUUUAGUUUUUUAUAAUCUCCACAGCACAGCAUUCCACCCAUCAGGCCCAACUUAUCCUGAGUUGUUGGCUUACAUCAGUUCUCUAGAAGGAAGACGGAGAAAAUUCAAAUUCAAAUCGGAUGGUCCAUAUCACAUUGGGGGAUUGGGACAGUUGAUUUACUCAUAUAAUCUCUUUAAACAUCUACCAGGAGAGGUUCUCAGACAGAAUUUAUUGCCCCCUCCUGCUAUCUUUGGGCCUACACAGAGCAAGGCAAAAUCCUUCUAUGAAAUCUGAAACUCUAGUCACUGUUUUCCUGGCUGAUGUCAUUUCAAAGGCAUGGUAUAGCCCUGUGAUAGUUGCAGCGGAAAUCUGACUCUCUGUGGGGUUCCCAUCUGUUUGCCAUCAGAAAGAACCUUUUGGGGAGCCACAGUAAAUGCAGAGCACCCAUUCCUCCCUAUGGGUUCUGGAGUCUUAAUGUUUUUAAGAUCAAUUGUUGUUAGGAUUGAAUAGUGCUUAAAUUUUCCCAGAAUAAGAAGGUAUAUAGAAUUACAUUGCUGUAACUUUAGUUUUCAUUUUUGUGGGUUCUCACAGGCUAUUUUGUAUAAAUUUUCUAUAUGAUUCUGAAACUACUUUGCAAAUGUUACCAAAAGGAGAAUUCAGUCACUGAAAUCCAUUCCUUUGGAAGAAGACUUUUUUUUUAUAACUUUAUGUAGUGAAAUCCUUAUAAAACAGCUUACAUUUGAGGCAACUCUUUCUGAGAUCUUUAGGGAUAAAGUUGCCCCAAAAUUUAAAUUAUGUGUCAAAAGGCUAUUUAUUCACUUUUCAAUAAGGGCCAACAGAAACGAUAUAAUAAGUUAAAGCAAAGAAAAUGAUUACAAUGACAAGAGGUUUCAAUCGAGAUCUUAUACGGAUCACCUUCAAUACAAAUAAUCCACUGUAAAUAACGGGGGGUUCACAAUGGUACCAAGCUAUAACUAGCUGGGAAUUGAGUGUAUUCACUCAGCAAUAAAUGUAUAAUGGUCGCCUUUAUUACUGAAGAAACAAAGCUUGAAUUAAUAACACAGGAAUGUUUAAUAAGGGAAAAGAUUUCAUGAAGAUCAGCCUUUUUCUCAUCUUCCUUCUCCCCUACAGGUAUUACAGCUUUCGCAGUGCCCGAAACAAAAACAGACUCUCCAUUAUAUUCCUCAAGGAAUAAUUUAUUAAAUGUGUUUUUAUAAAUUGGA